rnacentral:rRNA from 1 species
UACGUAGGGUGCAAGCGUUGUCCGGAAUCAUUGGGCGUAAAGAGCGUGUAGGCGGUUCGAUCAGUCCGCUGUAAAAGUCCAGGGCUCAACCCUGGAAGGCCGGUGGAUACUGUCGAGCUAGAGUCCGGAAGAGGCGAGUGGAAUUCCUGGUGUAGCGGUGAAAUGCGCAGAUAUCAGGAGGAACACCAAUGGCGAAGGCAGCUCGCUGGGACGGUACUGACGCUGAGACGCGAAAGCGUGGGGAGCAAACAGG